rnacentral:RNase_MRP_RNA from 1 species
GCCCCAGUGGUCUGGUCUCGUGGGCACCUCAAGGCAGAGGGAGAUCUGCCUGAGCUCUGGGAGAAAGUCCCCGGACAGCACCUGCGUAGCUGCUUUCGGGCACCUGCGCUGUAGUGAGUGCAGCCGUAGUUGGUGGCACAACCCCCUGUUAGCCAGGCUCUGGCAUGCCGCUGAGUGAAGACGCGUCUGCCUUCGGCAGCGGCGGAACUCGCGCUGCCCUUGCGUGCGUCUCGGCCGGCGGGGGGGAUCGCUCGUCCUAGCACAGUAAUGCGCGCCCGUGUGGUUUGUCACUCGAGUGGGCCGCUCCCUCGCCUCUGGUUGUUGGCUGUGGCCAGAGGACUGGCCUCGUGCCAGCGGAGCAUCCGCUCCUCGGUGUCGGCGCAGGCUUCGGCCGCGCUUGGCACAGAGGUGCAAACACACGAACUCAACGGGGCUUACUCUG